CACGUAGGGUCCGAGCGUUGUCCGGAAUUACUGGGCGUAAAGGGUGCGCAGGCGGUCGGGUCAGUCGAUGGUGAAAGCCCCACGCUCAACGUGGGAAGGUCCGUCGAGACGGCCCGACUGGAGGCAGGGAGAGGCCGGUGGAAUUCCGGGUGUAGUGGUGAAAUGCGUAGAGAUCCGGAGGAACACCAGAGGCGAAGGCGGCCGGCUGGACCUGACCUGACGCUGAGGCACGAAGGCGUGGGGAGCGAACGGG
rnacentral:rRNA from 1 species